ACCUACUGUUUAAUUUUGAGGGUUCGUUUUUACGAAUACUCAAAAUUAGCACUUUAAGCAACGGGAUUUAUCCGUUGGCGCUGUGCUUUAGCACUUUGAAAACUGCAUAUAUAUUUAGUGAUAUGACAUCUAAUUUGUAAUAUAUAAAGCUGAUAACUUUUUAAAAUUAUCGAAGUUGAUAGCUUCUAAUCUAUCAAACCUUUUUAACUGGUCAA
rnacentral:misc_RNA from 1 species